rnacentral:rRNA from 1 species
GACGAACGCUGGCGGCGUGCUUAACACAUGCAAGUCGAACGGAAAGGCCCUGCUUUUGUGGGGUGCUCGAGUGGCGAACGGGUGAGUAACACGUGAGUAACCUGCCCUUGACUUUGAGAUAACUUCAGGAAACUGGGGCUAAUACCGGAUAGGAGCUCCUGCUGCAUGGUGGGGGUUGGAAAGUUUCGGCGGUUGGGGAUGGACUCGCGGCUUAUCAGCUUGUUGGUGGGGUAGUGGCUUACCAAAGCUUUGACGGGUAGCCGGCCUGAGAGGGUGACCGGCCACAUUGGGACUGAGAUACGGCCCAGACUCCUACGGGAGGCAGCAGUGGGGAAUAUUGCACAAUGGGCGGAAGCCUGAUGCAGCAACGCCGCGUGCGGGAUGACGGCCUUCGGGUUGUAAACCGCUUUCGCCUGUGACGAAGCGUGAGUGACGGUAAUGGGUAAAGAAGCACCGGCUAACUACGUG